rfam:Candidate divison MSBL1 archaeon SCGC-AAA382A20 AAA382A20_Contig_93_C, whole genome shotgun sequence.
CAGCAGGAGACAAACCUGCCCGGUAACUGUUGCUCCAACCGGUAGCAAUCGGAGCCGUUGUUGAGGAAACAAUACGACGGAAGCACUUCGAUGAAAAAGGAUCGCAUUGGCGAUUCAGCAAGCUUGCAGGCCCAAUUCGU